CCUACGGGAGGCAGCAGUGGGGAAUAUUGGGCAAUGGGCGCAAGCCUGACCCAGCAACGCCGCGUGAAGGAAGAAGGCUCUCGGGUUGUAAACUUCUUUUCUCAGGGACGAAGCAAGUGACGGUACCUGAGGAAUAAGCCACGGCUAACUACGUGCCAGCAGCCGCGGUAAUACGUAGGUGGCAAGCGUUAUCCGGAUUUACUGGGUGUACAGGGCGUGUAGGCGGGAAAGCAAGUCAGAUGUGAAAGCCAUGGGCUCAACCUGUGGCCUGCAUUUGAAACUGUUUUUCUUGAGUACUGGUGAGGCAGACGGAAGUCGUGGUGUAGCGGUGAAAUGCGUAGAUAUUAGGAGGAACACCAGUGGCGAAGGCAGUCUGCUGGACAGCAACUGACGCUGAGGCGCGAAAGCGUGGGGAGCAAACAGGAUUAGAUACCCUUGUAGUC
rnacentral:rRNA from 1 species